AGUCUAUGGGGCCGGAUGAAAUGCAUCCCAGGGUUCUGAAGGAGCUGGCUGAGGUGGUUGCUGAGCCUCUCUCCAUCAUAUUUGAAAAGUCGUGG
rnacentral:miRNA from 7 species